GAACGGGUGAGUAACACGUGGGCAACCUGCCCCUAGCUCUGGGAUAACACCGGGAAACCGGUGCUAAUACCGGAUAUGACCUCGGAGGGCAUUUUCUGGGGUGGAAAGUUUUUCGGCUAGGGAUGGGCCCGCGGCCUAUCAGCUUGUUGGUGGGGUAAUGGCCUACCAAGGCGACGACGGGUAGCCGGCCUGAGAGGGCGACCGGCCACACUGGGACUGAGACACGGCCCAGACUCCUACGGGAGGCAGCAGUGGGGAAUAUUGCGCAAUGGGCGAAAGCCUGACGCAGCGACGCCGCGUGAGGGAUGAAGGCCUUCGGGUUGUAAACCUCUUUCAGCAGGGACGAAAACAGACGGUACCUGCAGAAGAAGCACCGGCCAACUACGUGCCAGCAGCCGCGGUAAUACGUAGGGUGCAAGCGUUGUCCGGAAUUAUUGGGCGUAAAGAGCUCGUAGGCGG
rnacentral:rRNA from 1 species